GAGUUUGAUCAUGCUCAGAUUGAACGCUGGCGGCAUGCCUUACACAUGCAAGUCGAACGGCAGCAUGAUCUAGCUUGCUAGAUUGAUGGCGAGUGGCGAACGGGUGAGUAAUACAUCGGAACGUGCCCUGUAGUGGGGGAUAACUAGUCGAAAGAUUAGCUAAUACCGCAUACGACCUGAGGGUGAAAGUGGGGGACCGCAAGGCCUCAUGCUAUAGGAGCGGCCGAUGUCUGAUUAGCUAGUUGGUGGGGUAAAGGCCCACCAAGGCGACGAUCAGUAGCUGGUCUGAGAGGACGAUCAGCCACACUGGGACUGAGACACGGCCCAGACUCCUACGGGAGGCAGCAGUGGGGAAUUUUGGACAAUGGGCGAAAGCCUGAUCCAGCAAUGCCGCGUGUGUGAAGAAGGCCUCGGUUGUAAG
rnacentral:rRNA from 1 species